rnacentral:rRNA from 1 species
AACGAACGCUGGCGGCAUGCCUAACACAUGCAAGUCGAACGAGACCUUCGGGUCUAGUGGCGCACGGGUGCGUAACGCGUGGGAACCUGCCCUUAGGUUCGGAAUAACUCCCCGAAAGGGGUGCUAAUACCGGAUAAUGUCUUCGGACCGAAGAUUUAUCGCCUUUGGAUGGGCCCGCGUUGGAUUAGCUAGUUGGUAGGGUAAAAGCCUACCAAGGCGACGAUCCAUAGCUGGUCUGAGAGGAUGAUCAGCCACACUGGGACUGAGACACGGCCCAGACACCUGAGGGGGGGAGGGGGGGGGAAAAUGGGAAAAGGGGCGAAAGCCUGACCAAGAAAGGCCGGGGGGGGGAUGAAGGCCUUAGGGUUGAAAAGCUCUUUUACCCGGGAUGAAAAUGAAAGGACCGGGAAAAAAAGCCCCGGCUAACCCCGG